ACACAUGCAGUCGAACGGUCCUUCGGGACAGUGGCAGACGGGUGAGUAACGCGUGGGAAUAUACCUUUCGGUACGGAAUAGCUCCGGGAAACUGGAAUUAAUACCGUAUGCGCCCUAUGGGGGAAAGAUUUAUCGCCGAAGGAUUAGCCCGCGUUGGAUUAGCUAGUUGGUGGGGUAAUGGCCUACCAAGGCGACGAUCCAUAGCUGGUCUGAGAGGAUGAUCAGCCACACUGGGACUGAGACACGGCCCAGACUCCUACGGGAGGCAGCAGUGGGGAAUAUUGGACAAUGGGGGCAACCCUGAUCCAGCCAUGCCGCGUGAGUGAUGAAGGCCCUAGGGUUGUAAAGCUCUUUCAGCGAGGAGGAUAAUGACGUUACUCGCAGAAGAAGCCCCGGCUAACUUCGUGCCAGCAGCCGCGGUAAUACGAAGGGGGCUAGCGUUGUUCGGAAUCACUGGGCGUAAAGCGCACGUAGGCGGACUGAUCAGUCAGGGGUGAAAUCCCGGGGCUCAACCCCGGAACUGCCUUUGAUACUGUCAGUCUUGAGUCCGAGAGAGGUGAGUGGAACUCCGAGUGUAGAGGUGAAAUUCGUAGAUAUUCG
rnacentral:rRNA from 1 species